GUCCCACAAAAGGCAGCUUAGCCAUUUUUUUUGAAGAUAUGAUUCACAGACUGGAUAAGACUCAAAAGUCAAUGGUUCAAGAAGACCAUCUUUCUCUAGUUUGUUGAGUCUGUCUUCUCCAAUAUGGCCUAGCCUAAGGUGCCAUAGAUACUUUUGGCUGAUCCUAUCUCUAGAUCUUUUAGAUCCUAUGGCAUUCAUAAUUUGCUCGUUAAUGUUUACACUUGCAUCGGUA
rnacentral:lncRNA from 1 species